rnacentral:rRNA from 9 species
UGAAUUAAUGUGAACUGCAACCUGCCAUGAACAUCGACAACUUGAUUGCACAUUGCGGCCAUGGGUUAGCCUGUGGCCACGCCUGUCCGAGAGUCGG